rnacentral:tRNA from 1 species
GCUGAUGUAACUCAGUCGGUAGAGUACCACCAUGGUAAGGUGGGAGUCAAGGGUUCAAAUCCCUUCAUCAGCUCCA